UAAUUAUAGUAUGGACUGAUUUUUGCAUCCAUGGCACAAAUAGCGGCAACACGUAUGAAUGGAGUUCCAUUAAGAAAUGUAUGCCACAAAAAGAGAUGGAAUCAGUGUGAAAAUGAUAUAAAAAGAAUACAAGAGGGAAAGCCAAUUGGUAUCUGAACAGGAAUACUGAAAGGGGGGUUGACAGUAAAGGAUGCUGGGAAACACAGACAAGAAAUUGCUACAAAGCAUUCAAAAUUCUCCAGCUGCUGUGCUUUUAAUUUGCUUGGAUUCCAAUUAAAAUGCAAAUUAAAUUU